UACGUAGGGUGCAAGCGUUGUCCGGAAUUAUUGGGCGUAAAGAGCUCGUAGGCGGUUUUGUUGCGUCGGCUGUGAAAUCCCGAGGCUCAACCUCGGGUCUGCAGUCGAUACGAGCAAACUAGAGUGUUGCAGGGGAGACUGGAAUUCCUGGUGUAGCGGUGAAAUGCGCAGAUAUCAGGAGGAACACCGGUGGCGAAGGCGGGUCUCUGGGCAACAACUGACGCUGAGGAGCGAAAAGCGUGGGGGAGCGAAACAGG
rnacentral:rRNA from 1 species